GCGUAAGAGCUCGUAGGCGGUUUGUCGCGUCUGCCGUGAAAGUCCGAGGCUCAACCUCGGAUCUGCGGUGGGUACGGGCAGACUAGAGUGAUGUAGGGGAGACUGGAAUUCCUGGUGUAGCGGUGAAAUGCGCAGAUAUCAGGAGGAACACCGAUGGCGAAGGCAGGUCUCUGGGCAUUUACUGACGCUGAGGAGCGAAAGCAUGGGGAGCGAACAGGAUUAGAUACCCUGGUAGUCCAUGCCGUAAACGUUGGGCACUAGGUGUGGGGGACAUUCCACGUUUUCCGCGCCGUAGCUAACGCAUUAAGUGCCCCGCCUGGGGAGUACGGCCGCAAGGCUAAAACUCAAAGGAAUUGACGGGGGCCCGCACAAGCGGCGGAGCAUGCGGAUUAAUUCGAUGCAACGCGAAGAACCUUACCAAGGCUUGACAUGUGCCAGACCGCUCCAGAGAUGGGGUUUCCCUUCGGGGCUGGUUCACAGGUGGUGCAUGGUUGUCGUCAGCUCGUGUCGUGAGAUGUUGGGUUAAGUCCCGCAACGAGCGCAACCCUCGUUCCAUGUUGCCAGCACGUAGUGGUGGGGACUCAUGGGAGACUGCCGGGGUCAACUCGGAGGAAGGUGGGGAUGACGUCAAAUCAUCAUGCCCCUUAUGUCUUGGGCUUCACGCAUGCUACAAUGGCCGGUACAAUGGGUUGCGAUACUGUGAGGUGGAGCUAAUCCCUAAAAGCCGGUCUCAGUUCGGAUUGGGGUCUGCAACUCGACCCCAUGAAGUCGGAGUCGCUAGUAAUCGCAGAUCAGCAACGCUGCGGUGAAUACGUUCCCGGGCCUUGUACACACCGCCCGUCAAGUCACGAAAGUUGGUAACACCCGAAGCCGAUGGCCUAACCACCUUGUGUGGGGGGA
rnacentral:rRNA from 1 species